rnacentral:rRNA from 1 species
GAGAUGUGGGUUAAGUCCGCAACGAGCGCAACCCUUGCCUUAGUUGCCAGCAGUUCGGCUGGGCACUCUAAGGGACUGCCGGUGUUAAACCGGAGGAAGGUGGGGAUGACGUCAAGUCCUCAUGGCCUUUAUGACCAGGGCUACACACGUACUACAAUGGCCGAUACAAAGGGCAGCGACACUGCGAGGUGAAGCCAAUCCCGUAAAAUCGGUCUCAGUCCGGAUUGGAGUCUGCAACUCGACUCCAUGAAGUUGGAAUCGCUAGUAAUCGUGGAUCAGCAUGCCACGGUGAAUACGUUCCCGGGCCUU